UAAGCGACUAAGCGUACACGGUGGAUGCCCUGGCAGUCAGAGGCGAUGAAGGACGUGCUAAUCUGCGAUAAGCGUCGGUAAGGUGAUAUGAACCGUUAUAACCGGCGAUUUCCGAAUGGGGAAACCCAGUGUGAUUCGUCACACUAUCAUUAACUGAAUCCAUAGGUUAAUGAGGCGAACCGGGGGAACUGAAACAUCUAAGUACCCCGAGGAAAAGAAAUCAACCGAGAUUCCCCCAGUAGCGGCGAGCGAACGGGAGCAGCCCAGAGCCUGAAUCAGUGUGUGUGUUAGUGGAAGCGUCUGGAAAGGCGUGCGAUACAGGGUGACAGCCCCGUACACAAAAAUGCACAUACUGUGAGCUCGAUGAGUAGGGCGGGACACGUGGUAUCCUGUCUGAAUAUGGGGGGACCAUCCUCCAAGGCUAAAUACUCCUGACUGACCGAUAGUGAACCAGUACCGUGAGGGAAAGGCGAAAAGAACCCCGGCGAGGGGAGUGAAAAAGAACCUGAAACCGUGUACGUACAAGCAGUGGGAGCACGCUUAGGCGUGUGACUGCGUACCUUUUGUAUAAUGGGUCAGCGACUUAUAUUCUGUAGCAAGGUUAACCGAAUAGGGGAGCCGAAGGGAAACCGAGUCUUAACUGGGCGUUAAGUUGCAGGGUAUAGACCCGAAACCCGGUGAUCUAGCCAUGGGCAGGUUGAAGGUUGGGUAACACUAACUGGAGGACCGAACCGACUAAUGUUGAAAAAUUAGCGGAUGACUUGUGGCUGGGGGUGAAAGGCCAAUCAAACCGGGAGAUAGCUGGUUCUCCCCGAAAGCUAUUUAGGUAGCGCCUCGUGAAUUCAUCUCCGGGGGUAGAGCACUGUUUCGGCAAGGGGGUCAUCCCGACUUACCAACCCGAUGCAAACUGCGAAUACCGGAGAAUGUUAUCACGGGAGACACACGGCGGGUGCUAACGUCCGUCGUGAAGAGGGAAACAACCCAGACCGCCAGCUAAGGUCCCAAAGUCAUGGUUAAGUGGGAAACGAUGUGGGAAGGCCCAGACAGCCAGGAUGUUGGCUUAGAAGCAGCCAUCAUUUAAAGAAAGCGUAAUAGCUCACUGGUCGAGUCGGCCUGCGCGGAAGAUGUAACGGGGCUAAACCAUGCACCGAAGCUGCGGCAGCGACGCUUAUGCGUUGUUGGGUAGGGGAGCGUUCUGUAAGCCUGUGAAGGUGUACUGUGAGGUAUGCUGGAGGUAUCAGAAGUGCGAAUGCUGACAUAAGUAACGAUAAAGCGGGUGAAAAGCCCGCUCGCCGGAAGACCAAGGGUUCCUGUCCAACGUUAAUCGGGGCAGGGUGAGUCGACCCCUAAGGCGAGGCCGAAAGGCGUAGUCGAUGGGAAACAGGUUAAUAUUCCUGUACUUGGUGUUACUGCGAAGGGGGGACGGAGAAGGCUAUGUUGACCGGGCGACGGUUGUCCCGGUUUAAGCGUGUAGGCUGGUUUUCCAGGCAAAUCCGGAAAAUCAAGGCCGAGGCGUGAUGACGAGGCACUACGGUGCUGAAGCAACAAAUGCCCUGCUUCCAGGAAAAGCCUCUAAGCAUCAGGUAACAUCAAAUCGUACCCCAAACCGACACAGGUGGUCAGGUAGAGAAUACCAAGGCGCUUGAGAGAACUCGGGUGAAGGAACUAGGCAAAAUGGUGCCGUAACUUCGGGAGAAGGCACGCUGAUACGUAGGUGAAGCGACUUGCUCGUGGAGCUGAAAUCAGUCGAAGAUACCAGCUGGCUGCAACUGUUUAUUAAAAACACAGCACUGUGCAAACACGAAAGUGGACGUAUACAGUGUGACGCCUGCCCGGUGCCGGAAGGUUAAUUGAUGGGGUUAGCGCAAGCGAAGCUCUUGAUCGAAGCCCCGGUAAACGGCGGCCGUAACUAUAACGGUCCUAAGGUAGCGAAAUUCCUUGUCGGGUAAGUUCCGACCUGCACGAAUGGCGUAAUGAUGGCCAGGCUGUCUCCACCCGAGACUCAGUGAAAUUGAACUCGCUGUGAAGAUGCAGUGUACCCGCGGCAAGACGGAAAGACCCCGUGAACCUUUACUAUAGCUUGACACUGAACAUUGAGCCUUGAUGUGUAGGAUAGGUGGGAGGCUUUGAAGUGUGGACGCCAGUCUGCAUGGAGCCGACCUUGAAAUACCACCCUUUAAUGUUUGAUGUUCUAACGUGGACCCGUGAUCCGGGUUGCGGACAGUGUCUGGUGGGUAGUUUGACUGGGGCGGUCUCCUCCUAAAGAGUAACGGAGGAGCACGAAGGUUGGCUAAUCCUGGUCGGACAUCAGGAGGUUAGUGCAAUGGCAUAAGCCAGCUUGACUGCGAGCGUGACGGCGCGAGCAGGUGCGAAAGCAGGUCAUAGUGAUCCGGUGGUUCUGAAUGGAAGGGCCAUCGCUCAACGGAUAAAAGGUACUCCGGGGAUAACAGGCUGAUACCGCCCAAGAGUUCAUAUCGACGGCGGUGUUUGGCACCUCGAUGUCGGCUCAUCACAUCCUGGGGCUGAAGUAGGUCCCAAGGGUAUGGCUGUUCGCCAUUUAAAGUGGUACGCGAGCUGGGUUUAGAACGUCGUGAGACAGUUCGGUCCCUAUCUGCCGUGGGCGCUGGAGAACUGAGGGGGGCUGCUCCUAGUACGAGAGGACCGGAGUGGACGCAUCACUGGUGUUCGGGUUGUCAUGCCAAUGGCACUGCCCGGUAGCUAAAUGCGGAAGAGAUAAGUGCUGAAAGCAUCUAAGCACGAAACUUGCCCCGAGAUGAGUUCUCCCUGACCCUUUAAGGGUCCUGAAGGAACGUUGAAGACGACGACGUUGAUAGGCCGGGUGUGUAAGCGCAGCGAUGCGUUGAGCUAACCGGUACUAAUGAACCGUGAGGCUUAACCU
rnacentral:rRNA from 1 species